GGUAAAGGUGUUACUGCCACUGGUGCUCACU
rnacentral:piRNA from 1 species